CUCCAUUUUAAAAUAUUAUUAUGAUUCAUUUGCACAGUAUUUACGCAAAAAGGUGCAGGUCGAAUAUUUUGUUAUACUUCAUAAUUAUUAACAUUUUUUAUGCGAUUUUGUGCCGCAUCUACUAGUACCACUAGUUUGAACAGAUGCAGGAUCGUUAUUCAGUUAUUGAUAUAUGCGUUUUAUCAUAAGUCGAGAUACAUAAUCAUAUUUAGUUCGUGAAAAAUGGCUUAAGUCAAUAUUGUUCUCAGUGUAAAAUUAUUUCAACUUGAGCCCUUUUGCACAUACAAACACCGUCCAAUUAUAAUUUAAAUUUACGUACAUACUAU